UCUGAUUCAGCGGCGGACGGGUGAGUAAUGCCUAGGAAUCUGCCUGGUAGUGGGGGACAACGUCUCGAAAGGGACGCUAAUACCGCAUACGUCCUACGGGAGAAAGCAGGGGACCUUCGGGCCUUGCGCUAUCAGAUGAGCCUAGGUCGGAUUAGCUAGUUGGUGAGGUAAUGGCUCACCAAGGCGACGAUCCGUAACUGGUCUGAGAGGAUGAUCAGUCACACUGGAACUGAGACACGGUCCAGACUCCUACGGGAGGCAGCAGUGGGGAAUAUUGGACAAUGGGCGAAAGCCUGAUCCAGCCAUGCCGCGUGUGUGAAGAAGGUCUUCGGAUUGUAAAGCACUUUAAGUUGGGAGGAAGGGUUGUAAAUUAAUACUCUGCAAUUUUGACGUUACCGACAGAAUAAGCACCGGCUAACUCUGUGCCAGCAGCCGCGGUAAUACAGAGGGUGCAAGCGUUAAUCGGAAUUACUGGGCGUAAAGCGCGCGUAGGUGGUUUGUUAAGUUGGAUGUGAAAGCCCCGGGCUCAACCUGGGAACUGCAUUCAAAACUGACAAGCUAGAGUAUGGUAGAGGGUGGUGGAAUUUCCUGUGUAGCGGUGAAAUGCGUAGAUAUAGGAAGGAACACCAGUGGCGAAGGCGACCACCUGGACUGAUACUGACACUGAGGUGCGAAAGCGUGGGGAGCAAACAGGAUUAGA
rnacentral:rRNA from 1 species